GCAAUGGCUCAUGCCUAUAAUCCCAGCACUCCGAGAGGCUGAGGUGGGAGAACUGUUUGAGGCCAGGGGUUCGAGACCAGUCUGGGCAACAUAGUGGGACCUGGUGUCUGCAAAUAAUAAAAAAACUGGCCGGGUAUGGUGGCGCGCACCUGUGGUCCCUGCUACUCAGGAGGCUGAGGUGCUUGAGCCCAGAAGCUUGAGCCCAGAAGCUCAGGGCUGCAGUGAGCUGUGAUUGUACCACGCGCUCCAGCCUGGGUGACAGAGCGAGUCUGUGACUCAAGACAAAUAAUUUGGAUGUUCAAGGGUUCUGGAGAAAGAAUAAAAAUACCAAACUAAAAAUGGAUCAUAGAUCUAAAUGAAAAAUGCAUACAAGUUAAACUGAGUUUCAUGGUGAGUCCGUAGUGGUUUAGACAGGGGUGGUGCCUGCAUGACAGAGGAAGGGGAGGAGGAGCAGCAGCAGGACCAACAUGGGUCGGCGCGGCGGCUGGUGGUGCUGACUGUGGCUGGUCUGCUUCUGGUUUGCACACCAGAGGCUGGAGGAGGGCCCUCAAUGGAAGCGACCAGCAGGCAGCUGGGGAUGAGGGUCUGUAACCCAGGAGGUCUGGAGUUGCUGAGGUGUUCUCCUGCCCCAGCCUCCCGAGCAGCUGGGACUACAGGUGCCCGCCACCAUGCCUGGCUAAUUUUUGUAUUUUUAGUAGAGACGGGGUUUCGCCAUGUUGGUCAGGCUGGUCUUGAACUCCUGAACUCAGGUGAUCCACCAGCCUCGGCCUCCCAAAGUGCUGGGAUUACUACUGGUGUGAGCCACCGCACCUGGCCUGAAAAGCACCUUUUCUUUCCCUAAUACUGUGUUUUACCUCACAUAAUAAUAUUCUGAUGAAUAC
rnacentral:lncRNA from 1 species